UCACACACACAACUACACAAGUCGCCAUCCCUACGCUGCACGCGCAGCAUUUGCAGUAGUAGUAGCAGCAAAUAAACCACGCCGCACCGCCGCCCCACCGCGACGAAUCGCUAAUCACUCGCUCCCCACUUGUGGAGUGGCCGCCUGGGUGGCAACUGGGCCUGCCUCGCGCGUGAUGGUGGUGGUGGUCGUCUGGUAGAGGAGUAACCAGUGUAGCAGCAGCCGGUAAACCCGCACCUAAACCAUCGCCCGCGGCCACACGGCGAGGCGAGGCGCAACGCAGAUCCCUCCCAUCCCACUCUUCCCCCCGGCCUGCCGGUUCGCGCGCGGCGGCCAAAGCAAGCAAGCAAGCAAACCUUUUUCGCAGCAAUUUCCGGGCACUAGCUGUCUAGCUCUACACGCCUCGAUCGGCGAUGCGCGCGGGUCGCGUGAUGGCGGAGGGGGGCAACAACAAGCGGAUCGACCUGGCCGCGCCGCUCCGCUCGGGGCGCCUGCCCUACCACAAGGCCGACCUCAAGUCCGGCCCCGUCAGCCACCCCGGCGCCGUGCCUUUCGUCUGGGAGCAGAGCCCCGGCCGGCCCAAGAGCGUCCGCACCCGCCGCCCGCCUCCCACCUCUUCUUCUCCGCCGCGCUCGUCCGAGUACGGCGGCGGCGCGAGCCCCUACCAUGACGCCCUCGGGGAGCGCGAUCGCGCGGCGCCUUAUGGCGUCGCCACCGCCGCCGUUGCGUCUCGGAAUGGGACCGCGGGGCGCUGGGCGGAGGCCGAGGCGAAGAAGGAAUCCGUGGCUGAAUUGCUGCGGAGGGAGGAGGAGGAGGAGGACGCCGGCGAUGACGACGAGAGGUUCUCGGACGCGCUGGACACGCUCUCCCGGACGGAGUCAUUCACCGUCAACUGCAGCGUCAGCGGCCUCAGCGGCAUGCCGGACCGCCCCGCUGGUGCGGCCGCGGGCGCCGAGGCGGGCGCACGCGGCUUCAUGAUGGACCGCUUCCUGCCGGCCGCGCAGGCGGUGGCCGUCGGCUCCCCGCAGUACACCUUCCGCAAGGCCGGCGCGGCCGGUGCCACUAGCAACUCGGGCCGCGACCAUGCGCGCGCGGCUUCAGCCAAUUGCAGGACGGGCAGUGACGAUGAUCACGCCAGGAGAGCGCCUGUUCGGCUCCCGUACCAGCAUCUACCUCCCAAUUACUUGUCUUGUAACUACCCAAGACGCGAGGAGCUUGGACAGGAGGAGGAAGAGGACGACGAUGACUACGACGUGCAUAGUACCCGUGGUUUUGCAUCCAAGGGGUGUGGUUUGCUCCCUGGUUUGUGUGCUAAAAGCUCCUUGUUCCUACUGAAUCCAGUGCCUAUGAUGAAGCGUGGCAAGGUGCGCGGGAGAGGGAGAGGCAGGGGCGUGCCAUCCAAAGGCAGGUCCCAGAAUGCACCCAGCCCUCUUGCGCGGAGCUCACAAAACAACCAUCCUGGUUGUGAUUCUAAUAGGCAAUCAUGGGAGGAAGUGUAUAAGCACAAGUUGGAGCACAAGUAUAUUCACCAAGGAGAGGAUAGGAGGAGCAAGCUGACAAGUGAAUCGAAUCAUCUGACCUUCUGGAGUGACUCUCAGACCGGGGAUGGGUCUUCACCAUUCCACCACUCCAUAGGUGGUGACACAUCUCCCUACUGUAAGGAUAUUGUCUUGUCACCAUCACACAAAGCAGAUGAAUCAUUUAGAAUGGAAGAUAAAGAUGACAAAAUGAGUAGAAGCAAUGGCUCCAGCUCACUUGGAAAAGACCAUGAUCAUAGCUCAUUGGUUGGAUCAGAUCACAGUAGUUUGAAGGGGUCAAGCUCCAUGAGCUCAGGGCCUGAUAGAAGAGUGCACGAAGAUUCAGAAACUACACACUUGGCUCUGCUACUGGAUACAAAGUUAUCUUUGAAUUCAAGAUAUGAUAGUCAGCUUGGAGGACGACAGAUAGUUGGAAACACUAUUGUGGAAGGUCAAGACGUUGAUCCAUCGACAGAAAGGAUCACUCAAGUGCCAGAACCCGCUUUGUUAAUGUCUUCUGGAAACUCGGAAUCAGUGAAAUUGGAUGAUAGAAAAACUUCCACUAGUGAUACUAGUCAGCAUGUCCAACUACAUUCGACAGAUAAUAAUGUUGUCAAGAAGCAAAAUAUGCCCUUGCAGUAUCUACUACCUUUACCUGUCCCUAAGUCACCUUCAGAAUCCUGGCUUUCUCGCAAUUUGCCAUCUGCGAAAAACAAACCACCGAUGCCAUCAUUUCUUGGAAUGCAAGUACAGCCAAAGAAACAAGCUCCAUGGGACUCGAUGCACCCGAAGGAGAAUGAUCUAAAACCUUCCAGGCCACGUCAAAUAAGAUUUGCAGAUGUGGUAGAAAGGCCUAAUUAUUUGGAUUCUGAGAUAUGAUGUUUUCUCUGACGACCAAGAUUUAUUCAAGAUUGGAGGUUGACAUCAGGAUCAUAUACCUGCGACUGCCAGUGCCCAAUGGUUCCGUAGAGGCAUAAAUGUGCUAUGUUUUGCUGUUGCAGUGAUAGCUGGUUACUACUUACGAGCAAUCCAGCAUGUUGAUAAUUUCAACGGGUAUGCCAUGUCUGCAUACAAUAUGCUUCAUGUUGCCCAAGCAGCGAGAUUAAAGCGUCUACCAGCCUCCAGGCUACCAGAAGUAUCAACCGCGGUCUACCCUUUACAGACCAGCAAACAGCCGACUUAGCCAGACGAGACAGAGUUAUGAAACUAUCCAGGCCACAACAAAAACUUCAGCUUCACAGAGCUAGAACAGAUAGGCAGAUCAGAUGGAGCAUGUCCAAGCGUCACGCAGAGACAGUGACUGAAGAUCUUGACAUGCGCUCAUCGCCAGGAGUGUGACCGUCUUCCUCUUCUUCAUCGCCACGGUAGGCCUGGGAUCUCCUGUGAUUUGGUCUCGAGCUGCCGAAGAUUAAACUCCAGCGCUGGCAGAUUUCCUUUUGUACAGAGGGCCUUCCAUGCGUAGGUGUUUUAGGAGCAUUCGCCAGGGUACCUGCAUAACAGACCAAGACAUGGAACGAAAAAACACGUUAUUUCGAUACUUCCAAAUAGUCCA